rnacentral:rRNA from 1 species
UACGUAGGGGGCAAGCGUUGUCCGGAAUCAUUGGGCGUAAAGAGCGCGUAGGCGGUCCGGUAAGUCCGCUCUGAAAGUCCGGGGCUCAACCUCGGAACUGCCUCUGAUACUGCAAAUCUCGAGUCCGGAAGAGGUGGGUGGAAUUCCUAGUGUAGAGGUGAAAUUCGUAGAUAUUAGGAAGAACACCGGUGGCGAAGGCGGCCCACUGGUCCGGUACUGACGCUGAGGUGCGAAAGCGUGGGGAGCAAACAGG